AUUGAACGCUGGCGGCAGGCUUAACACAUGCAAGUCGAACGAGCGGCGGACGGGUGAGUAAUGUCUGGGAAACUGCCUGAUGGCGGGGGAUAACUACUGGAAAGGGUAGCUAAUACCGCAUACCAUCAGAUGUGCCCAGAUGGGAUUAGCUAGUAGGUGGGGUAAUGGCUCACCAGGGCAACGAUCCCUAGCUGGUCUGAGAGGACGACGAGCAACACUGUGACUGAGACACGGCCCAGACUCCUACGGGAGGCAGCAGUGGGGAAUAUUGCACAAGGGGCGCAAGCCUGAUGCAGCCAUGCCGCGUGUAUGAAGAAGGCCUUAGGGUUGUAAAGCACUUUCAGUGGGGAGGCGUUACCGACAGAAGAAGCACCGGCUAACUCCGUGCCAGCAGCCGCGGUAAUAC
rnacentral:rRNA from 1 species